GUCAAUUUAUUGCUUUGAUUUCCAUAUUUAAAUCCAGCACGUAUCUAAAUACUGCUUUGACUGAGACAUAAGCUUAUGGAUAUCUGCAGAAGUGUUAGAGGCCAGAAUGUUGUCCAGAGCCAUGGUGACCAUGCUGCAUUCAACGCAACAAAAUGCAGUGCUUUUGCUUCCAGCAUGAAGUGGUCCUGGAGAUUUACUCGUUCCAUUUUUACCACAGCUUGUUUUCUUUUGAUUCCUGUAAUAAGAAAUGUGGGAAUGGUGUUUAUCUCCCGAACAAGACACUGCAAACGAUACUGAAAGGCCACCAGCAGGUCACCUCACAACCUUCUCCAGGCUGAACAGCCCCAGCUUUCUCAGGCUGUCCUUGUAGGGUAGGUGUUUCAUCCCUCAGAUCAUUUUUGUGGCCUUCCUCUGGAUGUGCUCCAACAUGUCCAUGUCUCUCCUCUACUGAAGACACCACAUCUGGACACAGUACUCCAGGUGAAG
ensembl:lncRNA